UUAAGUGAAUAAGGGCGCACGGUGGAUGCCUUGGCACUAGGAGCCGAUGAAGGACGGGACUAACACCGAUAUGCUUUGGGGAGCUGUAAGUAAGCUAUGAUCCAGAGAUUUCCGAAUGGGGGAACCCAAUAUCUUUUAUAGGAUAUUACUUUUCAGUGAAUACAUAGCUGAUUAGAGGUAGACGCAGAGAACUGAAACAUCUUAGUACCUGCAGGAAGAGAAAGAAAAUUCGAUUCCCUGAGUAGCGGCGAGCGAAACGGGAAGAGCCCAAACCAACAAGCUUGCUUGUUGGGGUUGUAGGACUCCAAUAUGGUAGUCUGUUAGUAUAGUUGAAGGAUUUGGAAAAUUCCGCUAAAGAGGGUGAAAGCCCCGUAGACGAAAUGCUGACAACACCUAGGAGGAUCCUGAGUACGGCGGAACACGAGAAAUUCCGUCGGAAUCCGCGGGGACCAUCCCGCAAGGCUAAAUACUCCCUAGUGACCGAUAGUGAACCAGUACCGUGAGGGAAAGGUGAAAAGCACCCCGGAAGGGGAGUGAAAUAGAUCCUGAAACCGUGUGCCUACAACAAGUCAAAGCUCGUUAAUGAGUGAUGGCGUGCCUUUUGUAGAAUGAACCGGCGAGUUACGAUUGCAUGCGAGGUUAAGUCGAAGAGACGGAGCCGUAGCGAAAGCGAGUCUGAAUAGGGCGAAUGAGUAUGUAGUCGUAGACCCGAAACCAUGUGAUCUACCCAUGUCCAGGUUGAAGGUGCGGUAAAACGCACUGGAGGACCGAACCCACGUACGUUGAAAAGUGCGGGGAUGAGGUGUGGGUAGCGGAGAAAUUCCAAACGAACUUGGAGAUAGCUGGUUCUCUCCGAAAUAGCUUUAGGGCUAGCCUCGGAAUUGAGAAUGAUGGAGGUAGAGCACUGUUUGGACUAGGGGCCCAUCUCGGGUUACCGAAUUCAGAUAAACUCCGAAUGCCAUUCAUUUAUAUCCGGGAGUCAGACUGCGAGUGAUAAGAUCCGUAGUCGAAAGGGAAACAGCCCAGACCACCAGCUAAGGUCCCAAAAUAUAUGUUAAGUGGAAAAGGAUGUGGGGUUGCACAGACAACUAGGAUGUUGGCUUAGAAGCAGCCACCAUUUAAAGAGUGCGUAAUAGCUCACUAGUCGAGUGACCCUGCGCCGAAAAUGUACCGGGGCUAAACAUAUUACCGAAGCUGUGGACUACACCAUUAGGUGUAGUGGUAGGAGAGCGUUCUAAGGGCGUUGAAGGUCGAUCGUGAGGACGGCUGGAGCGCUUAGAAGUGAGAAUGCCGGUAUGAGUAGCGAAAGACAGGUGAGAAUCCUGUCCACCGUAUGACUAAGGUUUCCUGGGGAAGGCUCGUCCGCCCAGGGUUAGUCGGGACCUAAGCCGAGGCCGAUAGGCGUAGGCGAUGGACAACAGGUUGAUAUUCCUGUACCAGUUGUUUUUGUUUGAGCAAUGGAGGGACGCAGUAGGCUAAGGAAUGCAUGCGAUUGGAAGUGCAUGUCCAAGCAAUGAGUCUUGAGUAGAGUUAAAUGCUUUACUCUCUAAGGACAAGUUGUGACGGGGAGCGAAAUAAUAGUAGCGAAGUUCCUGAUGUCACACUGCCAAGAAAAGCUUCUAGUGAGAAAACAACUGCCCGUACCGUAAACCGACACAGGUAGUCGAGGAGAGUAUCCUAAGGUGAGCGAGCGAACUCUCGUUAAGGAACUCGGCAAAAUGACCCCGUAACUUCGGGAGAAGGGGUGCUGACUUCGGUCAGCCGCAGUGAAUAGGCCCAAGCGACUGUUUAUCAAAAACACAGGUCUCUGCAAAAUCGUAAGAUGAAGUAUAGGGGCUGACGCCUGCCCGGUGCUGGAAGGUUAAGAGGAUGGGUUAGCUUCGGCGAAGCUCAGAAUUGAAGCCCCAGUAAACGGCGGCCGUAACUAUAACGGUCCUAAGGUAGCGAAAUUCCUUGUCGGGUAAGUUCCGACCCGCACGAAAGGCGUAACGAUUUGGGCACUGUCUCAACGAGAGACUCGGUGAAAUUUUAGUACCUGUGAAGAUGCAGGUUACCCGCGACAGGACGGAAAGACCCCAUGGAGCUUUACUGUAGUUUGAUAUUGAGUGUUUGUACCACAUGUACAGGAUAGGUAGGAGCCGAUGAGACCGGAACGCUAGUUUCGGAGGAGGCGCUGGUGGGAUACUACCCUUGUGUUAUGAACCCUCUAACCCGCACCACUAAUCGUGGUGGGAGACAGUGUCAGAUGGGCAGUUUGACUGGGGCGGUCGCCUCCUAAAAGGUAACGGAGGCGCCCAAAGGUUCCCUCAGAAUGGUUGGAAAUCAUUCGAAGAGUGUAAAGGCAGAAGGGAGCUUGACUGCGAGACCUACAAGUCGAGCAGGGACGAAAGUCGGGCUUAGUGAUCCGGUGGUUCCGCAUGGAAGGGCCAUCGCUCAACGGAUAAAAGCUACCCUGGGGAUAACAGGCUUAUCUCCCCCAAGAGUCCACAUCGACGGGGAGGUUUGGCACCUCGAUGUCGGCUCGUCGCAUCCUGGGGCUGUAGUCGGUCCCAAGGG
rnacentral:rRNA from 1 species